rnacentral:lncRNA from 1 species
UGCUCACCCCAUCCAGGCCUAUCACUGGGAGCUCGCAGGGGUGUCGCCGUGUUGGCAUUCAAGAUUGGAGAGGAGGAGUUGGUGGGGCAACUGUGUGAGGACAUGGGUGAAAUUGGUCGGAAGGGGUGGGUCUGCGAUGGAGCCUCUCGUUGCUGCAGUGUGUGAAGAGCGCGUGGGUUGGGGAGGUGGCGAUCUGGUCAAGUCCGUAUAUAUAGAGUGGAGAGAGAGUGAAAGAGGCCAAGGAGAAGGAGAGAAGGGGACAAAAGCGGACGGGGGAGGCAAGGUCCACGUAUGACGAUGCCAGCACGCGAGGGAGGAGUUCCAGGGUGCAUUUCAUAACGUUUUUAUUCUCAACAACAGUUUUUGUUCAGAAAUACGUUUUUCUAUUUUUAUUCUCAAAAAUAGUUUCUGAAUAUUUUAAGGUAUUCAGUAAUUGUACAAAACUUCUAUUUUUAGAACAGAAAUACGUUUGGUACGAGCUUAAAUAUUUUUGUGACUUAAAUUUUUGUAAUUUAUUUAUAAUUUUAUUAUAUAUUUUUUUCUUUUUCUCUCUCCUUUUUCUAGGUGGUCUCCGGGCUCGACCUUGCCUAGCUAUGACAACUUUAGGGGUGUGCAUGGUCCGAAUGGACGGUUCCCGACCUAGAACCGGGAACCGCCCAUUAAGAACCGGUUCCAAUAUUUUAGAACCGGGAAUUGCCUGUUAGUUGCAUGGAUCCACCCGGGAACCGAACCGCCGAUCCGGUCUGGUUCCCGGGUGGAUCCAUAAAACUAGUCCAACUCUACGCCUUCCCCUUUUCGCCCUCCCUGCAUCUACUUAUUAUGGCUCUCCCGAUCAUAGUAGCUUUAUUCUCCUCAAGUACUAGUGCUGUAGCGGCGGCAGCAGUCGCGACCCUCACGUCGCUUCCGUCCCAAUCACCACCACCAUCUUCUCCACUGCCUUCGCCGUCUCCCGCUCCUCCCUUGAGAUUGGCAAUGAAGAGGACAAUGGGGAUGAUGAGCCAUUCUUAGACUUAGAGUUCACCCUUGUCCCCGAAAAUGAGGACGAUGGAGGGAAGCCUAAGGAGGGGGAGGAGGAAGAGGGGAGGUAGAAGCGGGACAAGCCCAACAACGAAGAGGGCAAUAAUGACAGUGAAUGCAAAGGCGGCGACGGCAUGGAGAGAGAGUUCAAAUUUGCGGGGGGAAAAGAGAAACAAGAUGGUGAUUGGAGCCCUAAAUUUUAGAUUUGCUAAUUUCGAUUUUUUUAAUAUAACCGGUCCGGUCCAAGUGGGUGGGUGGGCGGAUCCGCCCAUGGAACCGAGAAUUGGACCGGUUCCCUUAAGAACUACCGAUUUCAGGUGGUUCCGAUCCGGUUCCAGGUGGUCCGGGCGAAUCCCGAUUCUUUUGCACACUCUUAACGACGAGGUCCUUUUUAACAAUGUGAUGUGUUUCAAUAGUGGAUGUCAAGAAGACUUUUCUCAAUACAUAAUGUGAGGUGUAUUUUUACUAAUGUUAAUGGUCGAUGCCAAGAAUCUUUUCUCAAUGAACCAUUGCUUUAGGCUCGAAAUUCGACCACUUUAUCAUUUCUUCUGUAGAGUCCAUCCUCUUUGUCCCCCACGAAUAUGUCUUAAUCCCCCUUUGCCUUGGACCUUUUCUAAGAUCUUAUGCAACACCUCAUACACAUUAUUUUGCUUUGGGAAUUCGACCGCCUUCUGAUUAAUUUUGUACGUCCAUCCUGCUGUUUGCCCUUUACUAAUAUGUCUUGUCCCCCCUUUGGCUUUCGGUACUUUAUAAGAAGCUACCCAGCACCACAUGCGCGGUACGCUCUUGGGUGCUUGGAAAUCGACGGUAGAUUUAGUGGGACUCGUCAACUUAAACAAGUAAACAGUCAAAUGACAAGGCACAAAAGCCGACUAAGACGGACCAAAUUUGGUCUGACUAGGAUAGGAUGCAAUGACAUAUACCAAAUAAUCUAGUUUCAUGAUCACAAUGUCCAUGACGCCGUAGGGUGCAAUAGGAAUGAACUUUCAGGUCAUGCAUCGUUACUCAUUAGGAUCAGAUGAUACAUGAAUCGCUUAACUCUUAGCAAUCCAUUCAUGCCGAAUGUUUUCUUGAUUGCCUAUUGCUCGUUGGCCUAAAGCGGGGCAGGAUUGAUAGUUUGACACGGGUUGCCGCCGUUGGUGUUCACGAUCGAGAAAGAGGAGCUAUCUAGAAUGUUAUUGCAUAUAUGAGUAGGGAACAAGCUGAGGGUACUUACCAAAAACAAAAACAAAAACAAGCUAAGGGUUAGCUAAGAGAAUCUACUUUCUAGCUCCGAUUCUCCUUAUCGUUGUCAAUGGUGGUAACAUUGGAUAUAUAUGACGAAGGAACCAUCGAUGAUGCCGGCAACGAGUGAUCGACGACAUUACGUCCAACGGUGCCACCGGGCAUCGGAGGACGGUGUGACCCCGAUUAGCAUAAGCGAAAGGGAGUCUCCGACAAUUCCUCGAUUACCAAAAAAAAAACAAGCUACUGAGAGUUAGCUAAGAACAUAAAGAUGAAUCUACUUUCUAGCCUUGAUUCUCCUUAUCGUUGUCAAUGGUGGUAACAUCGGAUAUAUAUGACGAAGGAACCAUCGAUGAUUCCGGCAACGAGUGAUCGACGACGUUGGGAGGAGAAUUGCAGGCGAAGAAAUCGAAGAUCGACAAUAAUUAAAAGUAGGUCUAAUUAUAACUAUUUCUGUGUAAGUUUUGUCAGUAAGUCCGAGGAAUUGAUAUAACAUGCUUAUCACGCUUAUUCUUCCGGUGUCAGGACCAGCAUCAGCAAUGACCGAGAAUCUUCUUCAACCAGUUUGUCUAGUCGUCGUAGUCGGGAGGAGAAAAAAGACUGCACUGGGGCUCUGGCGAUUGAUCUUUUUGUUCUCUAUCAUUGCGUGCGCGGAAGCAGCGGCCCCACGGAUCAAAAACACAUUGACUUUUUCAAUCGAGCGAUAGAAAAAUUUCACCUUUUGACCCUGCUAUUUGCCCACUUUGAUUUUUAUUUUAUUUUAUUUGUUGAACUACUUUAGCGGUGGCCUUCUCGAGAUGAUGACCUAACAAAUCUCGAUAGGGCAUUGUGCAAGUUUAGAAAGAAGACACAAGGUAUAGAACUCUAAGAACUAGAGGGACAAAGCAACAAAUGAUCACAUAGUAAUUUCUUGCCAAUUGCAGUAUGGAGCAACACGAGCUCAAUAUAAUUAACUAACAAUGCAAGCUCAUUUGGUAAUUGGAUUGGUUUUCGUGAAUGAUUUAAUCAGUUGUGUGUUACAUUUUUUUAUUCAGGCUAAUAUUACAAAAAGUCGUGGAGACAGACGUAUUUAUAAGUGGACUGGAAACUUUUUUUUUUUUUUUUGCUUCGAAGCCGUUGAUGGUUGUACGAGGAUAUUGUUGGGUGGGGAGGCCAGAUUGUGUCACAAAAGCAUAAGAGGACAAGAAAGAGGCCCUCGCGCAAUUGGCACUUUUCUCUAUCGUACGCUCACUCAGUCACCGCACCUUUUUUCCUAUUUUUCUUUUCGUUGUUUUGCUUCGAAGCCGACGAGACGGGCGUAUAAUAGAAGGGGACAAAAAUUUCCUUUGAAAAGUAGUGAGAAAUCUUCUUGUUUUCUUGCAGCCAAAUUCUUGUUUGGACUCAAGGUACUAAUCCCGGUGCCAAAAGUUAUUAAUCCACGUGGUUCUCUAAUAUUUUUUUGAAGAAGACAUAUUCAAUUGGAAUGAAAACUGUGGAUCCCUAGGAUUGACUCCCACUUUUGAAUUAAUUUGAAGUAUACGACCCGUGUAAUCUUUCUAUUACGCAAUCCACGUUCAUUAUGAUAUGCAUAGGUGGGUCCCAGCGUCCUUCCUCAAGACUCGCCUGUCCUUUACUCUCACGACACAGCCCUCCCGAGGAAGCAACAUCAAAGAAUCUAGCAUUGCACCGAAUUAGAAGUGCGUCGGCAGUUCACGCCUCGUUGGGCACGCGCACGCGACAAGUGGGGACGGGACGGGGCCCGGCACGAGCUUGGGUCCUUACGAUUUUAGUGACACCAGGGAGCUUUCUUCAUCGCUUACCUGAUAGAAAAAAAGACAAGCGUUCUCGAAGACAAAAACGUGGAGAUAAAACUUCUUCUUGGCACCUAUUACUAUUCUCAUUGUCAUCGUUGAUGUUGGCAACAUCGCAAAAGCGGGAAAAAGAAACCAUGGAUGGUGCCGGCGGUGAGUAAUUGACGAUGAUCAGAGGAGAUUUGGGGUUGGAAGAAAUUGAACGUCUUCAUGGAUUUUUUCACUUUCUUCUUAUCGAUAUUAUUUAUUUUUCUGGAGAGACAGCAUAGAAUUAGAAGUGUGGAAAUCCCACAAAUUUGGCACCUUAGAUUGUCUAGAGUGAUCGAUCUAUAGUUGCGUAAAAUUAAAUUGUCAAAUGUGCGCUCUAAUACAAAGUAUCUACUAAUUCGGGUUGGAUAAGGGAAAAGGAUAAUUUAAUUGAAUAUAUUAGUCUUUCCCAAAUUGAGUGGUUUCCAUGGACGGUAGCGUCCCCUAUCUUCCUCUUCUUCUUGUCUCUCAUAAGCCGAACCUUCAUGAAAUCAUUGUUUGAUUGAAGGGGAAGAACAUUAUGGAAGCUAAUUGGCAGGAUCCUCGCCUCCUUGUUCACUGCGUUGAUAGCUGACACAUUGGGGGGUAUGCGAAAAGUGGAACGGGUCAGCUCGGUACGCUUUAGUUACAAGGGGGCUUCCGCCGGUGCUUUCGUCGAUUGUGCUUUAAGGGUAAAAGGUUCCAUUAUCAUCCCAGAAUUUGUCGUCGCAGCAAAAUUAGACCUUGAAAGGAUCCACCGUUCAAUGAAAAAAUAAUUCAUGAGUAGGGUUUCUCCGGAAUUAUUACCAUAACGAUAUAUUUUCAUCGAAAGUAAUUCAGGGAAAACCAAGAUUCUGUACUUGCUCUGGACGGAGAAUAUUUUAUGCGAAAGGAGAUAAAUUAAUUCGAUUCAAAUAACGCAAUACAAUUCCAAACCGAACCGACAUUUGACUGACAACAAGAUCUAGAAAUUAUAAACUCGAGUACGUAACGGGAUACAAACAAAAGCUUGACAACAUAAAAGCACAGCACAUAAAAGAACCCGACAUAGGAAAACAGAAAAAGAAAAAUAUAGAGAAGAAGCUCCUUUCGCUAUGACUUUCCAGUGAAAGCUCAAGAAGCCUCGUUGCCCGUGCCUCAAGCAACCUUGUGAAGGACCUUAAAGUGAAACAUGCGCUCGUCCCAGAACAUCCCGAUCUCGUCCCCGACUACCAACCCUCGCCUCUCGACGAACUCCGGGAUCCAGCCGCCUUUCAGCACGUAGCCCUUCGUGGAUUUCCAGUAGCCAAACACGAGCGGGUGCUCGCUGCAUGUGUCCGCGUCCCACACGGGGACCUCCAUCCCAGCCCUGCUCUUGACCAGAGCCACCAUCUCCUCGCCCUUCUCCUUGAGCACGCGGCGCUCCACGAAGCCUUUCGUAAGCAGGAGCCGCGACGAGUGAUCUACGUCACUUGUCUGUAGCUCCUUCCUUGAAGUCCCACGGGUCAUAUCGGAGAGUCAACUUGGUGGAGAUGCCAGCAUCGUUUUUCUCUUCUUCCUCGUGCCUCGGAACGGGCCUCUCGUUGUUGUCUGGGACGACCCUACGUGAUGAUAUUUUCCUCUCUGCCCAAAAAAACCGGGUUACGUCAGUGGUCGACGAUUCGGGAGCAUUUCAGUUACAUCAUAAGAUACCCAAAGAAAAGUCUCCGUUUGUCUCUUUCCUUCUCUUGUUUCUUCUCCUUGUCUUUUUUAUUUAAUAAACGAAUAAUUUCUCAGAAUUAUUUAUCAGUAUAUAAACCAUGAAGGUCGUCACACGAUGGCUUUCAAUUGAAUGGAACGGUGUUAACUUACUCGGGUCUUUCCCUGGGAGCUCAGGCUCCUGAGAUGUCACCACCUUGGCAUUCUGGGUUGGAGAGGAGGAGGAGGAGGAGCUGCCGGGGCGACCGAGUUGGAGUUUGGUGAAGUCGAGUGAGCUCAAUCCUUCCUUUUCCACAAUGACUUUCCCUCGGAGCUCACCCUCCUGGGGUGUCACCGAGCUGGCAUUCUGGGUUGGAGAGGAGGAGGAGGAGCUGCCGGGGAGACCGAGUUGGAGUUUGGUGAAGUUGGAGGCUGAGCUUGAUCCCAUCAUUGCCGCAGUGCGUGCGUAAGUGUGUGUGUGUGUGAAGAGAGUGUGUGUGUUGGGGAGGGUGGUGGUGUGAGGGAUCGAAUCGAGGGCUACAUGUAUUUAUAGUAAUGCGGAGGGAAGAGAGAGAGAGAGAGUGAAACCGUAAAGAGAAUAGAAGGGGACCAAACCGGAGACCGGAGCUCCGGAUAGCGACAGAUAGCGGCACUUGAGUGGAGGGGUCAAAUCUACUACAGGAAGUAAAGAAAAUUCUUGUUUUUUUUCGCAGCAAAAAGUUCUUGUUUGUACUCAGGGCACUAAUCAGGUGAAGUUCAUGAAUCGAUCUAACUCGAUCCAUAAAUCAGCUUUUGCUUCUUCUUUUUUUCUUUUUUUAAUGUUCUUAAUAGAAACUAAUAAUUUCUCAGAAUUAUGCAUUUGUGAAAACCUUGGAGGUCGACAUAGGAUGGCUUUCGUAUAUAUCAAUACAGGGUUCUUUAAAUACAGAGUGUGUGUGGGGAGGAGUUGUUCUUGUAGGGUGUCAUGGCAACGAAAGCUUCGACGCUUUAAAUUAGUGGAGACAGGAGAUCCGUGAGAGAGUUAUUUUUUGGGGAUUUUGAAUGAUUGGCAUGUUUGGGAUAGUACGGAGAGAGAGACGUGCGACACGUGCGACAAUGAUGGACGCGGGAGUCCCACCAAUGACGGUACGGAGGAAGGUGGUGCCUCUUUCCCUUUCUGGCGAUUUAGGAGUUUUUCUUUUUUAGCUGGCGGAAAGGGAAUUUAGGUGAGGGCUGCUGCUGACGUCUUGCCCUUGCGUCUGUAUAUAUGUAAUAUAUAUAUAUAUAUUUAUAAUCCUUUUCUAUUAGUUCAUUCUCUAAACUAAUAUUCUUAAUCAGAUAUAAUCACCGGCCCUCUCCUAAUCGUUAUUUUCUCAAUUCUCGAUUGGACAUAAAGCUCAAGAUGGUGAAUGCAUACAUGAAAUCGAACAGAAAACUGUAUUGUAGAUGUAUACGCGUUGUACAAUUUUAUUUCCUAAUACGAUGACCCAAUAGAUUUCUUAAAGAGCAAAAGUAAAAAGAUAAUCUAUUUUGGUUUACAACGGUUCCUCUUAAAUUUCAAUUUCUUGAAACUUGCUAUUUCCAGAAUAAAAUUGGUUGUGCACACAUCCAACGUGUGUAAAGAGAAAUUGGGAUGUUGUGUAGUGUGUUCAUUAUAAUAUAUGACUUUUCGAAGGGUAUAUAGAUCAUGUAACAAAUUUAUGAUUUUUUUUCAUGUAAUAAUUUCAAAGGUAACAAGUUACGAUGUUAAAUUCAUUAGAAAAUAUCUCCCAAUAUAUUUUUGUUAUUAUUAAAAGUGGACCUUAUGUUUAAAAAACCUAAACAAACUCGGGUUAAACAUAAAGUUACUGUGAAUAAUUAACAUUAGAUGAUUGUCCUCAUUGAAGCACUCGACACAUUAAUUUUUCCUAAUACCACAAACAUCGGGAUUAAACCUUGAUGAAGCACUAAAUACAUUCCACCCUUUUCAUAUAACAAUCAAGUUUUCUAUAUAUCGGUCUUGAACCGCCGUAACUCAAUGGGUGAUGGAGAAUUUAAAACUAGGGGGAGGAGACGUGAUCGCUCUUCAGAAGCUGCUUGACUGGCCCAGGGGGCUGUACGAUUCGCUCGUCCUUAUAUUCUCACGACACGGCUUGUACGAAAUCUUUUGACUGAGAGGAACGGGUCGGUUUGGAAGGAUGUCAGUGGAAAAAAAAAUACCUUUAUGAAAUCGUACGAAUUUCUUUGCUCAAAAGUCAAAACCCAAAAACCAUUGUUAGUGGAAAAAAGCAAGCACCUGCCGUACAAAUUGGGAAGGGUCAUCGUCUCUUUAUGAGCUGACAGUUCACGCCCUGUCGGGUGCGGAGGAUCUUAGUAACGCUGGGACUUUCACCAUCCCUUUCGUCAAUUGUGCUUCAGGGGGAAAGGUUCCACCGGCACCCGAGAGUUAAUCCCGGCAGCAUAUUAGAACUUGAGUAGAUCCGCCAUCUGAGGACGAAAUAUUUCAUUCUGAUGAUUCCGCUGGAAUUAUUCACACGACGAAAUAUAUUUUCACCGAAAAUAGUUCUUCCAUUUUUAUUAAAGGAAACCAAGCAUAUGUGCUAAGUCCGAAUAAAGGAUAUCUCCUGCAAAAAAAGAUUGAUUUCUUCGAUUCAAAUAAUGAUGUACAAUUCCGAACCGGGUCAUGGCAACGAAAAGUUAAGAGAACGUAGCGCAACAUACAUGCACACGUUUCUGAUCAAUCUAGAGGCCCCCACUGGGAAUCACGAGAGAGAGGAGCCAAAAAUCGAGCCGAGCCAUUGGGGGUAAAGUGGAGGAUACGUGAGUGAGAGAGAGCGUCGGGGUUGAUCGGAAGUACGGACGACAGGCUGGACACAUGCCCCGGUGAUGUACACAAAUUAAAAUAAUAUACACUAAUAAAAUAAUUGCACUGGAUACCGCAGCUAUCAUGAUCUUCCUCAUCCAUAACAAGGGAUUACUUUUACCUAAUUUCUUUGAAGUAGUCAAGUUUUAGUUUGUUACAUGUCUUCAAUAAUAUAAUAGUGGAGUCCUAGUCAAUAGAAAGUAGCUUGUUUUUAGGAGUUUGUUUCUACACGUGUUCUGAAUAGUGGGGAUUUGGGUCUUUGUUGUUGCUAUUUGUAGCUAUUUUCUCGCUAAUUGAUUUGGAUAUUAAAGUAACGAGAGUUAUAGCAGCAAUCCUCUAGAGUGACUUCUUCUCUGGGUCUAUUUCAUUAAAUUUCAACAAUUUCAAUUCAAGAAAAUUUAAUGAAGAAAUCGAACGUGUUCUUAGGUUUCUUCACUUUCUUCUGAUCCAUGUUAUCUCUUUUUCCAUAAAGACGGCACGGAAUUAGAAGUGUGGAAUUUGAAUAGUCACAAAAUAUAAGUACUUUGGUUUGGGUUGUCUAAGUGAUAUUUGAUUAAUCAAAGUAUCCUACUUCAUGGUGAAAGCGUAUGCGAGAUAGAAUAGAAAACUGAAGUGCGUAUGUGCUUGAGUGAUAAAUUGAUUGGGGCUUAAGAGUAUUUGAGUGAUUCAAGUAUACAAUCUUCAUUGUAUCGCUUAAUCUAUAGUAAAAUCCAUCGCUGCUCUCCCCGUGAACGUAGUUCACUACGUUUGAAUCACGUAAUUUUGGUAUUCGAUUUAUUUUCUUUAUUCUGUCUAUUUUAUUAUUCAAUCGCUUACUUUGCACAACAUGAUUCAUGUUAUUUCUUUUUUUGAAGAGAUGACAUGAAAUUAGAAGUGUGAAAAUCCCAUGGAUUUUGCACCUUAGAUCGUCAAAGAGUGAUCGAGCUAUAGUUGUGAAGUGCGCGUUACUUUGAUACAAAGUAUUUAUUAAUUCGAGCUGGAUCAGGGGAAAAGGAUCAAAGAUAGUGCAAUGAUUGUCUGUUUGUGUGUGUGUUUUUGUAUUGGGGGGAGGGACAUAAGACUAUAUGUUUCCUAAAAUACGAUAAUUUAAUAUGACGAAGUACAGAAGUUAUUAAUCCAGGUGUGAUUCUCUUGUAUCUCUUAAGAAAACAUAUUCAAUUGGGAAUUAAUUGAAUAUAUUAGUCUUUCCCAAAUUGAGCGGCAUACGUGGAUCCCAGCGUCCUCUAACUUCCUCUUCUUCUUCUCUCUCAAAAGUCAAAACAUUAAACAAGCCUAUUGGCAGGACCAUCGCCUCGUUGUGCAACACGUCAACAGUCGACGUCUUGUGGAAUAUGCCGAAAGUGGAACGGGUCGGGGCCCGCCAUGACCUUCUGUCCGUACGACUUAGCGACGCGGGGCCUUACGCCAUCGCUUUUGUUGAUUAUGCUUUUUUUAACAGGGAAAAGGUUCCGUUGGCGUCCAAGAAUCUAUCAGUGCGGUAAAUUAGAACGUGAAAAGAUCCACCGUUUAAUGAUGAAAUAAUUUGUAGGGUUUCGUCGAAACUGUUCUCAUCGAACUUGUAUUUAGGGAAACCAAAUUUCUAUAUUAACUCCGGACAUAGGACAUAUUUUUUCUCCAUUCAAACAGCAUUUAAAAUUUCAAAAUGAGUAAGUAUUUAAUCAAUGGUUGGCCUCACUGACCCUCAACACGUCACGGCUAACGUGACUAAUCAAUUCUUUCCAUUUUUAAGCAUGUGAAACAUGUAACGACAACUCAAUACACGCAAAUUUCAAGCAACACACGUAAAAAUAUAAAACCAAACACUUUAAUUUCUUAUUUAUAUAUGUUUUAGGUGACAAGAUCAGGGUGCACUAGGGGACAAACAAAAGAUACUUUACUCUGUACUACACCCAGAAAAUUCAAUAGCUCCAUAAUCCCAAUCUGGAUACUACGUAUGUACUUUGUCGUCCAUAUGUCCAAAAUCUUGGCUUAUCUUCCCAAAAUGCUACUAAUCUAAAAAAUAAUCAACCAUGAGUGAGCACAAAACUUAACAAGUAAACUACUGACCUGUUGUCACGAUCUAAAUUUCGAAUGCACCACUUAAAAUUAGGCUAAUGGAUUACUAAGCCUAAACUUAACUCGGGCUUUCCCAAGCCCAUACUAAUUCGCAACUUAAGUUCAAAUAUCUAGCAUACAAAUGAAUCGCCACUAAUCAGUUUACGAUAGGCCGAUUAGACACCUAAGUAAAAUAAUUGGAUAAUUACUUUACUUCUACGAACUAGAGAUUCUGGAUACGGGAACUUGAUUACAUUAGAUUUCUCUAACGCCCUUUCGGUACCUCUCUCUUUUUACUUUGAAAAAUGUUUGGCAAGCAGCUUGAAUUGAUUUUAAUUCACUUCCCUAACCUCAUAGCAACGAAAGCAUCUGUAAUGUUAAAUCAGAAUUCACAUCGACGAUCAUAAAUAUGAUUUCUAAUUAACACGCAACCACUCAAUUUUUGUUUUCACUUUUAACAAGAAUCAUGCUUUAUGCAAUACAAUGCUUCUAAUCUAUGAAAUGAUAUGGCAUGGCAACAUGUCCUAAACUAUAUGAAUGAGUAAAAAUUUAUGAUUUCUUAAUGAACAUGCAAUAAUUAAAUAUGCAAUCUAAAUUAACCAAAAUGACCUAAUUCUAAUGACGUGCAAAUGAAAUUUUUUAUUUUCUUAAAGAAAAACAUGCAAUCUAUCCUAGAGAUUGAAACUAAUUUAUCUUAGGACAUUUUUUGUAUUUUUUCUGAAAUUCGAAAUUAGAAAAAUAUGAAAAUUAACUAACUAGAUUAAGAUUCUAUCCAACUUGUAUUAAGGAUCAGGUCAAGCUAAACCCUAAUUUAAACUAAGAUAUUAUCUUAACCUAGCAAUUUCUAACCUAAGAUGCAAUCUACAUGGAAUGCAAAAUUCAAAUUUUUCUUUUUUGUAUUUUCGGGAUAAACAGAACAAUUAUGAGAUAAACAUCAAACCAUCCAUGAUCAUCAAAAAUAUUAUCCAUCACUCAAUUUGAAAUUCAAACUUGACUAUCUCGCUAAUAAAAUCAAUAAAUUGAUCUUAAGCCUUAAAUAUCAAGAUAUCAAUUUUACUCCCACGUGAAUAAUUAUUCCAACUAAAAGCCUUAUAGAUGGAAUAAAAAUUCGUGCGGUUGCGAAUUGGAUGCUACAUCAGGGAAUUUCAACCAUGCAUCGAGAGAUAAAUCAAGCAAAGAGACAAAAUAUCAAGAAAACUAAAAUAGGAUAAAAUAAAUCUUCCUAAUAAACUAAAUCUAAUAAAUCUACCUAAUAAAGUAAAAUAGAUCUCUACCUAAAUUUGAUUUUUUUUUUUUAAAUUCCAGUCGGUAGAAUGGACCAACGAUGGGCAUGGCUAUGGACGACGCAAAGGCAGCGGCUGUGGUAAUGACUCGGCGUGGCUCGACGCAAAAGAAAAAGAAACCGCUGCGUUGCUCGUGCCACCACCAACCUUGCAAAGGAUCGUAAAGUUAGUGCUUGUUCCUGUCAAUGCCAGUGUGUGCGCGAAGAGUGUGGUUUGGGUGGUCCGGUAAAGCGUAUUUGGGUUUGUGCUUUCUUUCUCUUUUCCGCAGCGUGCUGGAGAAAUCCAUCGAACCGAGUGUUCUUGUCAAGGCGUCAUGGGCCAUGGCAACGAAAAGUUAAGAGAACGUUCUGCAACACACAUGCACACGCUUCUGAUUAAUCUAGAGGCCCCCACUGGGAAUCAUGAGAGAAGGAGGCAAAAAUCGAACCGAGUUUUAGGGGGUAAAGGGGAGGAUACGUGAGUGAGAGAGAGUUUUGGGGUUUAUCGGGAGUACGGACAAUAGGCUGGACCAACAAGGGGAGAAGUGCCAAAAAAGUCCUAAACCUUUUGGCUUUGUGCCGAUUUAGUCCUAAACCUUUUUAUGGUGCCGAUUUAGUCCUAAACAUUUUUACGUUGUGUCAAUUCAGUCCUUUCCGACCAAUUUUGGCUAGAUUUUGCUGACUGGACGCCAGCCGGCUGAUGUAGUCUGAUCGGCGCUAACGUGGACAACUUUUAAUAAUAUUUUAAAAUUUAAAUUUUAUUAAUUUUUUUCCUUUUUAAUUUUUCUUUUUCUUUUUUUCCUCCAGCUAGUCGUCGGAGCUCGGCGAUCGGCCAGAGGCAACGACAGGCGAGGUCGAGGUCGACCUUGCCAGCCACCUCGCCAGUGGCCGCCCUCGAGGCCUGAGCAGCGAGGGCGAGCCCUACCAGCUCGGCGUGAGGAAGUUGGCCUCGCGCCGAGCUGGCAAGGCUUGCCCUCGCCGCCUAGGCCUUGAGGGCGGCCUCACUGGCCAUGGGCGAGGCUCGCCCCUCGCCGCCGAGCGCGAGGCUGCCCUCGCGGCCACUGGCGAGGUGGCUGAUGAGGUCGACCUUGACCUCGCUGGUCGUCGCCUCUGGCUAGUCGCCAAGCUUCGGCGACCGGCUAGAGGGAAAAAAUAAAAAUAAAAAUAAAAAUAAAAUAAAUAAACAAAAUAUUAAAAAUAUUAUUAAAAGUUGUCUACAUUAGCAUCGAUCAGGUCUGGUCAGUCGGCCGGUGUCCAGUCAGCAAAAUCUGGCCAAAAUUGGCAUAAAAUGACUAAAUUGGCACAACGUAAAAAUGUUUAGGACUAAAUCGGCACCAAAAAAAGGUUUAGGACUAAAUCGGCACAAUGCCAAAAUGUUUAUGACUUUUUUUGCACUUUUCCCGACCAACAAGUGCCCCGAUGAUGGACACAAAUAAUAUACACAAAUAAAAUAAUUGCACUGGAUACCGCAUCUAUCAUCAUCUUCCUCAUCCAUAACAAGGGAUUACUUUUACCUAAUUUCUGCUGAAGUAAUCAAGAACAAGUUUUAGUUUGUUACAUGUCUUCAAUAAUGUAAUAGUGGAGUCCUAGUCAAUGAAAAGUAACUUUUUUUUAGGAGUUUGUUUCAGAAUUUGUUUUUGCACUUGUUCUGGAUAGUGGGGUCUGUUAGUGGGUCUUUGUUGUCCCUAUUCAGUACCUAUUUUCUUACUAAGUGGUUUGGAUGUUCUGUCUAUUUGAUGAAUAAAGUAACGAGAGUUAUAGUAGCAAUUCUCUUGAGUGUCUUCUUCUCUGGGUCUAUUUGAUUAAAUUUCACUUCUCUGGGUCUAUUUGGAUAAAUAAAAUUUAAUGAAGAAAUCGAACCUCUUCUUGGGUUUCUUCACUUUCUUCAGAUCUAUGUUAUUUCCUUUUCUAGAAAGACGGCACGGAAUUAGAAGGGUGAAAUUUGGAUACUCACAAAAGAGAAGUACUUUGGAUUGGCUUGUCUAAGUGAUAUUUGAUUAAUGAAAGUAUCCUACUUCAUGGUGAAAGCGUAUGCGAGAUAGAAUAGAAAACUGAAGUGCGUAAGUGCUCAAGUGAUAAGUCGAGCAUUCGGCAAUCGUUAAGAAAGGAGUUCAAGGUGUACCUUUGGUCUGUUUAAGCUUUUGCGAAGAGACUGUCUUAUGUGGAGAACAAUUCCCCAAAACAAAAGGUGAUUGUUGUAAACGAGAUAUUCUCCAUCGUCAAGAUAUGAAAAAGAAUGUUAUAAAUUUUGCUGAGAGUCCACAAUGGCCUAAACCGCCCGAAUGUUAUCAAAGAGGAUUAGAACUCCGAAAAAAUUUGAGAACCAACCUUAACUGAUUCGGUUCUCGAUUUAAAAUAAAAAAAAAAAACAAAAAGAAGAAGGAGGAGGUAGGCUGGUUCUCAUAUUGAUUUUGGAAUUGGUUGUUUCGAUUCCAAACUUAUUUUAGGGUCAAUCAUUUCAGUUCCUAUUCCAAAAAUCAAGAAGCGGAUCUAACGGGGUAGGUUCUAAAUUCCAUAUUAGUAACAUACUUACCUUGAAACUGAUCACCUCAAUUAGAAAAUCAAGAAACAUCAUAAAAAAUGUCAUAAACUUAUUGUACGAAUCAAUUUAGUCUUAAACAUUUCAAUUAUGCCAAUUUAGUACUGAACAUUUCAACAAUUUUUCAAAUUAGCACUUCUAGCCAAUUUUGGCUGAAAAUCAUUGAUGUGGAUGUUGGUUUCUUAUAUGGCAUAAUCAGCAUUAACGUGGACAAAUUUUAUAACCUUUUUUAAAAAAAUUUAUAAUUUAUAAUAUUUUAUUUUCUUUUGUUUUUCUUUUUUCUUUUCCAACUAGCGAAGACUUGACAACCCUCAUUGUCCUAUGGAUGAGGGCCAUGAUGCCUUCAGUGUGGUCAACAAGGGUGUCGUGGCUUCGGCUGAGGUCUGGCAGGGUCUCCAGUCUCGUGGAAAAAAAAAGGGUUAAUACCUUAUAAAACCCCAAAUUGGUACAACUGUAACAAAUUUACCACAAACUAAUUUUUUGAUCAUUAAAAACCUUGAAUUGGUAUAUCUUUAACAAAUUUACUCAAAAUUAGUAUAGUUUUGACAAAUUUACUCUCUGUUAGUUUCCGUUAAAUUUUAUUGUCAAAUUAUUAAGUUGAAUGAUACAUAACAGUUGAUUAAUAUACCAGUUUGACAUUUUAUUCUCCGUUUGUUACAGGUAUAUAAUUUUUGUGAUUUUUUGUGGUAUUAAUCUAAUUUAACGGAUGGUAUAUUUGUCACAAAUAUACCGGUUUAGGGUUUUUUGUAGUCAAAUGAAUUAAUUUCGGUUAAAUUUGUCACAAGUGUACUAGUUUAGUUUUUUUAUUUUUUAUGAUCAAUUGGGGUAAAUUUAUCACAAGUAUACCAGUUUGAGGUUUUUCAUAGUAAAAAAAUUAGUUUGGGGUAAAUUUGUCAAAUGUGUACCAGUUUGGGAUUUUUCAAGGUAGUAACCUAAAAACAAAAAGGAACAUAAAAAGAAAGAAAAUAAAAAAUUCCAAAAAAAAAUUAUAAAAAGGGCUUAGAAAAAAUUGUUUGCGUUAGUAUCGAUUACCAAUCAAGUCAUGUAAGACGAUCGAUGUCUAGUUUAACAAUUUCUGACCUACGUGAGAUCUAACAAAAUCGUUGAACCAAUUUUUUCCUCACAAAAUCGGCAUGCAAAAACAUUGCACUUCCCGUUAAGAUGUGGCAAAAAAGGAGAAAACAGAAAAAAUCGAUACUUGACAAUGACUCACCAGAGCCCAGACGCGCGUGCUACUGACGGUGGGGUGAUCUUUAUGUUAGGUGGUGGUUACAAUUAGAUUGGUUUAAAGAAAUCUAUUUUGUUGUCCCCCGACCGAGGAAGUAAGCUUUCACGAAGGUUAGUGCAGAAUACUAGUAGGGAAAUAGUUGAGAGUUAGCCGAAAACGUGGAGAUAAAACUUCUUCUUGGCUGUGAUUACUAUUCUCAUUAUCAUCCUUGACGUUGGCAACAUCGGAAACGCGGGCCGAAGAGAUUGUGAAUGUUGCCAGCAGCGAGCAAGAUGAUGGGAGGAGAUUUGGGAUUGGAAGAAAUCAAACUUCUUCAUAUGUUUCUUCACUUUGUUCUGAUCUGUUAAAUUUAUCUUUCAAGUUUGAGCCCGAUAGAUGAAAUUCGAUCUGAGAUUAAUUGUUAUUUGUGGAGUUUUGAAUAUUCCGAAGUGGAUAUUUUACGAACAUCUGAAGUCAAUCAAAGUUAACUUCCUUUAGCGAAUUAGAGCUGGUGAUGGAAGAGAGUAUAAAAGGAAAUUAUAGAUAAUGAUUUCCUAAUUGCUAUCCAAGAAGAUGAUUUCCUAAUUGCUAUCCAAGAAGAUUUCAAAAGAAGACUUGGACUUUGGACUUUUCUCUACAAGUUGUUGUCGGUGAAGAAAUAAAAGACAGACAACACAACCCCAAUUGUUGAUUUUGUUGACCGAGUUCACUUAGGAUUGCAUGGGCAUCUUUCCACGCUCGAGUCGGACAACUCUUGACUUAUAUAUAUUGAAUUGUGGGCACUUUGGGUGUGAGUAAUUGAUAAGGGAGAGCGUGGUUUUUAUGGCGUGCAUAUCUAGAGGUCUUCUUGAAGUGCCGUGUGUGUGAGUGCUUACUAGGCGAAGACGUUUAGAGGAAUCAUAAAUUGCGUCAAUGUUCGAGCCAUAAAAUCUUGUGUUAGGAUUCGUGAAUUUUUUUGUGAGAUUGAGAGAUUAUUUUGCAAGGAAUUUCAGGGCUAAAUAUUGAGUGAGUUAUUAGAUAUAAUUGGGGCUAGAGUAUUUGAGUAAUUCAGGUGUGCAAUUUUCGUUGUAUUGCUUAAUCUAUAAUAAAAAAUUUAUAGCUACUCUCCCCGUGAACAUAGUUCACUACGUCUGAACCACGUAAUUUUGGUGUUCGACUUAUUUUCUUUAUUAUGUCUAUUUUAUUAUUCGAUCGCUCACUUUCCAAGACAUGAUUCAUGUUAUUUCUUUUUUUGGAGAGACGACACAAAAUUAGAAGUGUGAAAAUCCCAUGGAUUUUGCACCUUAGAUCAUCAAAGAGUGAUCGAGCUAUAGUUGUGCAAAACCAAGCUGUGAAGUGCGCGUUAUUUUGAUACAAAGUAUUUAUUAAUUCAAGUUGGAUCAAGGAAAAAGGAUCAAAGAUAGUGCCAUGAUUGUCCAUUUGUGUGUGUGAUUUUGUAUUGGGGGGAGGGACAUAAGACUAUAUGUUUCCUAAAACAUGAUAAUUUAAUAUGACCAAUGUGAUUCUCCUGUAUCUCUUAAGAAAACAUAUUCAAUUAGGAAUUAAUUAAAUAUGUUAGUCUUUCCCAAAUUGAGCGGUUUACGUGGAUCCCAGCGUCCUCUAACUUCCUCUUCUUCUUCUCUUUCAAAAGUCAAAACAUUAAACAAGCCUAUUGGCAGGACCAUCGCCUCGUUGUGCACCACGUUAACAGUCGACAUCUUGUGGAAUAUGCCAAAAGUGGAACGGGUCGGGGCCCGCCAUGACCUUAUGUCCGUACGACUUAGCGACGCGGGGGCUUACGCGUCGCUUUUGUUGAUUAUGCUUUUUUUAACGGGAAAAAGGUUCCGUUGGCGUCCAAGAAUCUAUCAGUGCGGUAAAUUAGAACGUGAAAAGAUCCGCCGUUUAAUGGUGAAAUAAUUUGUAGGGUUUCGUCGAAACUGUUCUCAUCAAACUUGUAUUUAGGAAAACCAAAUUUCUAUAUUAACUCCGGACACUGGACAUUUUUUUUUUCCAUUCAAACAACAUUUUAAAGUUUCAAAAUGAGUAAGUAUUUAAUCAAUGGUUGGCCUCAUUGUGACGCCCUCAACACGUCACGGCUAACGUGACUAACCAAUUCUUUCCAUUUUUAAGCAUGCGAAAACGUGUAACGACAACUCGGUACACGCAAAUUUCAAGCAACGCUCGUAAAAAUAUAAAACUAGACACUUUCAUUUCUUCUUUAUAUAUGUUUUAGGUGACAAGAUGAGGGUGCACUAGGGACAAACAAAAGAUACUUUACUCCGUACUACACCCAGAAAAUUCAAUAGCUGCAUAAUCCCAAUCUGUAUACUACGUAUGUACUUUGUCGUCCAUAUGUCCAAAAUCUUGGCUUGUCUUCCCAAAAUGCUACUAAUCUUAAAAAUAAUGAACAACCAUGAGUGAGCACAAAACUUAACAAGUAAACUACUGGCCUGUCUAUACCUCAUUGUUGGAUCUGGUGAGGCCGGAGCCUCGCCUAAGGCUGGCAGUGCUUGGCUAGUUGGAAUUGGGCAAGCUUGAGCUCACUUGUAGGUGGUUGCUGACCAUCAUCAUGGCCGGCGAUUGAUCAAAAAGAAAGAAAAAGAAAAUAAAUAAUAAUUGUAAUUUCAAAAAUAUAAAAGAAAAAUAUAAAAUAUUUAAAGGAAUGCACGAAGGAAAAUUUAAUCAUAUUUUUCACACCAAACAACAAAAAACAUUUUCUAAUUUAUUUUUAGAUUUUAGGCAAAAACCAAAAAAUAUUCUAAUUUUCCUAAAAACAAUACUUCUUGGAAAAUAUUUUCCUAGAAACAAACAAAGGGUUAUCAUAUAAAUUCUCCACUAAAUUUCUAUUACAUGAAAGUAUUUUAGCAAUAGCAUUUUAAAAAAAAAAUAAGAAAAAGGCUUUCUAAGGUAUAGUUAAAUGGGUGGGUACGGGUUGGGAAUUGAUCGGGUCAAGUAUAGAUCAAGAAUUUUGCAUUUCAAUAAAUGGAUCAUAAACGGGUUUAAUAUGUCGAUUUGGGUUGGACUAUUUAUGACCCAACUUAAUUUGACCCACCCGUUUGAUAAGUCUAAGUGGAUAUAAUUUUGGAUUUUUAAUGGCCUUUUUUACGCUUAAAUUACGGUAUUUUCUCAUUUUAUAUUGCCUAGUAAAUUAACUGUUAUUUCUUUUUGCUAGAUUUUUUUAUUAAGACAUAACCCAAAAACCAAUGCGUGUAUGUGAUCAGUAACCUCAGAGCGAUCGAAUUACAAUUAGAAAGAAUCAAAUUGAACUGCAAAUUUUUUCCUAAAUCGGGUUGGAUUUAGAGAGGGCGCAUGUACAGUAAGACUAUAUAUUUCCUAAAAUGUGAUAUUUAAUGGGAAUAAGUAAAAUAAUUAUAAAUUGACGCGAUUCUUUAUCAUUGAAAAAAAAAAUCUCUCAGUGGGGAAAUUUAAGUGGAGAUUAAUGAAUUUGUCCUUUAAUCCCUUAAGGAAAAAAAAAGAAAAAGAAGGUGAUCUUCGUUAGGAAGUCAAUCUUGAAUCUUGGAUUUAUUUCCUGUUUUUUAAUUAAUCCCCCACGUACACUAAUCCGAACCUGACUCCUAGUCCUUGGUGCACUCUCGAAACUUGACUGUAGAGAUUGAUGACGUCGCUCGUGAUCCUUGAAACGACAAACAACGGUAAACUAUGUAUUCUCUCCAACCUCCUACCCCUUGUCGUCUUGGUUUCUACUCAGUCUCCAACGUUGUCUUCUCUCUUUCGCUCUCUCUCAAUUUCUCUGCACCGCGUUGCCCUCAGUUGUUCCUCCGAAGCACUUUCUUGUUUCUUCGACCAAAAACACACGAAGCUCAUCGAUUCCUUCACCCCCGAAUCGCCUCCGGUUGGCAACAUCCUGAGAGGCGAGCUCCAUGCGCUGCCGCUGUUGAUCGACUCUUCGUCAUGCAUUUCUUAUAUGCACGACCACGAGAGGAAUCACGAAGAAGAGGGUGAAGAAACUUCUUCUGCUGCAGUGGUGGUGCCUCAAUUUUGGGAAUAGGUUCCUCAAUUUUUGGAACGUGAAACCUCCUCUACAUACCCUAGAACCUGAAGCCUCCUUGUUACAGAUUCUACGAUCGAUUCUAAGGUCUACUCAGUUUCACUUAUGUUAUUAAUUGAACGAUUGCAAUGGACUAAAACCCUUAAUGACCACAAUUUACUGCUACGAUUUAUUGACCAUAAAGAUACACGAAAAAUAUUAACAUUAAUAAAGUAAAAGUCUCAAUGAUAAAAUAAAAGCUCAAAUUAGUGCUUUCAAAUUAUACACUCAUUAUCAAACAGUAAGGAAUAUCACAAAAUUGUGCUAAGACAUGAGCCAAGAAAAACAUUAAAACUUAUUCAAAGCUCCAAAUUACAUAUUACAAGUUCUAGGUUCCAGGUUCCAUAUUCCUCCAAUUAAGAACUUGGAACCUAUCGGUCGAGAUAGAUUCAUCAUUUUUAGGAACCUAAAACCUACCCUCCAUAUCUUGGGACUUGGAAGUUAUAAGUUCUCAUUGGUUCGGUUCUCAGGUUCAAAGUCCUACCUUGGAACCAUACUUAUCUCAAUACAUGGCGACAGCUGGCAAUAGGCUAGGCAAAGGAUGAGCUCCCUAGAGGCCAACGAGCUCGAACUUGCCAAAUCUAGUGAGGCUAGAGCCUCACUCAAGGUUAGCAAGGCUCAGCUAGUUGGAAUUGGGUGAGCUUGAGCUCGCUUGUGGCUAGUCACUAACCGUUGUCAUGGUUGACGACCGACUGAAGAAAAAGGAAAAAGAGAAAAAAAAAUGAGAAAUAGAAAAAAGAAAUAUUAAAAAAUAUUUUCUAAAAGAAAAAUAAAAAAUAUUUAAAGGACACACGGAGGAAAAUAUAAUCACAUUUUUCAUACCAAACAACAAAAAAUAUUUUCUAAUUAUUUCUAGAUUUUAGGCCAAAACCAGAAAGUAUUGUAAUUUUCCUAAAAAAAUAUUUAUCUGAAAAUAUUUUUCCCAGAAACAAACAAAGGCUUAUUUUAAAACACACACACACACACACAUAUAAAUUGUCCACUAGAUUUGUAUUACAUGAAAGUGUUUUAGCAAUACUAUUUUUUCCAAAAAAAAAUCAUAAGAGAUAAACUUUCUAAAGUUUAGUUAAAUGAAUCGGGUAUAGAUCAAGAAUUUUGUAUUGCAAUAAAUGAGUCAUAAACGAGUUAAAUGGGUUGAUUUGGGCUAGACCGCCGUGACUCAACUCGACUCGAUCUGAUCCACCUAUUUGACAGGUUUAAGUAGACAUGAUUUAGGAAUUUUAAUGACUUUUUCUGUACUUAAAAUAAGGUAUUUACUCAUUUUAUUGUGCUUAGUAAACUAGCUAUUAUUUUUUUUGUGAGAUUUUUUUUAUUAAGACAAAACCCAAAAACUAGUGUGUGUAUGUGACCGGUACGGAUUGCUCAGAGUGAUCGAAUUACAACUAGAAAGAAUCAAGUCGAACUACAAGGUAUUUCUUAAAUCGGGUUGGAUUUAAAACGCAUGAUAACAAGUGCAUGUGCGCAUAUAAUGUAAGGCUAUAUAUUUCCUAAAAUGGGAUAAUUUGACGGAAUAAGUAAAACAAUCACAAAUCCAGGUGGUUCUCUAUUGUUGAAAAAAGAAAAAACCAUUAGUGGGAAAAUUUAAGUGGAGAUUAAUGAAUUUGUUCUUCAAUCCCUUACGGAAAAGGGGAAAAAAAAGAGGCGAUCUUCGUUAGGAAAUCAAUCUGGAAUCUUGGAUUUAUUUCCUUUUUUUUUUUUUAAUAAUCCCCGGCGUACACUAAUCCGAACCGGACUCCUAAUCCCAUUUCCAACGGCAAACAACGGUAAACUAUAAAUUCUCUCCAACAUCCUAGUCCUCGUCGUCUUGGUUUCUAUUCUCUCUCCAGCGUUGUCUUCUCUCUCUCUCUCUCUCUAAAUUUCUCUGCACCGUGUUGCCCUCUGUUGUUCUUGCGGAGCACUUUUUCCUGUUUCUUCGACCCGAAAACUAUGAAGCUUGUCGAUCCCUUCACCCCAGAAUUGCCUCCGCUUGGCAACGUCCCAAGAGGUGAGUUACACGCGCUGCUGCCGUCGAUCGGCUCUUCGUCAUGCGUUUCUUAUCUGCACGACCACGAGAGGAACCACGAAGCAGAGGGUGAAGAAACUUCGUCUUCUCCAGUGGUGGUGCCGGCUCGCAUCUUCUUUCCCCUCACGCCGGAUCAGACGAGGGGUUUCUUGGACAUGAAGGAACUCAGUGCCCCUCCAGCCCGACCGGAGCGAAAGUCCACGGCCUCACUCACUGAUGACGGAACUCUGUGUUGAAAAAGCACCGCCUCUCUCUCUCCUAGAGUUCUCUAGAUCUCUCUAUAGAGUUCUCCAUGUCUCUCUUUACUCCUCUAGAUUUCUCUCCCUCUCUCCAGACAAUUCCUCAGCCACAAUUGUUGACCCAACUUGCAAUAAAAUAUUAUGAAGAAGAUGGUGUGGGAAGUCGGUGGAUGUGUGCCGACUUUACACCCUAUAAAUAGGGGCUCUUGCCCCUUGGGUGAGUGUGUGUGUGUGGAGUGUGUACGUAAAGUGUGUGGGGGUGUGUACGUGAGGUGUGUGGGUGUGUGUAGGGGUCUUGUGUAGUGUAAGUGUAGGGUGAUAAGAAGUGAGUGGCUGUAUGCAGAGUUGUGUUCGUGUGUGGUUUGUGAAGUGAGUGAGUGAGCAAGUACAAUGAGUAGUUGUGAGAGUGUGAUGAUAUAAAGAGUUUGUAAUAUUAUUUAUAAAAAAUAAAAGUAAUUAUUUUACUUGUACAUCCACUUACUUCUCAAUACUCUGAUCGUGGAGAAGAAGGCGAAGCGCUGUAGAAGCCAGAAGGGAAAGAGAGGGGCCUCAGAAUGUGAAGUAGAGGAAGAGAGAUGCGGGGACGUUUCCACGGAGUUGGUGCUGCGCUAUGACCCUUACAAGAUCAAGAAGACGCUUAAGAAGAGUGAUCUUGGCCAACUGUCGAGGCUCUUGAUCCCGCGGGUGGGCGUGGCGACCUACGUGCUCCCGUGCAUGGAUGAAGAGAGAGCGAGGCGAGUCAAGAGCAGCGAGGGUGCCAACGUCGUGGUGUGGGACGCGGACACGCGCUCUGAGCACCGACUGGUGUUUGCUUACUGGGGAUUGUCGGGGUCCUACGUCCUGAAGGGUUGUUGGACGAAGGAGUUCGUGCAGCGGAGGGGGUUGGCUGAAGGCGAUGAGAUCGGGAUACAUUGGGAUCCUAUCGUUAGUAAGUUCGAUUUCAGCUUUCUUCACAAGGCGAAUUAGCGUGUUGUGAAACUACAGAUCAGUUAAGUAUUUCUUUGAACUUGAAUUAGUAUUUCUUUUAUUAGGUGACCAAGGGAGAAAAACCUUUGAUCUUUAGAGCUAGAAUAGUAGUGAUGGAAUCUUGCUGCUAUUCAAUUCUUGUUGAGUGUUUCUUUAAAGCCUGAUUCCAAUGUUUUCAAUAUUCUAGAGUCAUUUCUUUCCUAUUAUGGUAAUAGAUGAAAUUGUCCGUUCUGUUCUUAUAUAUUAUAUACAUGCAUUAAGGUGUACUUUAGAGAUAAAUACUUUGUGUUGUGUUCUUUAAAUGAUAUUUCAUUAAUCUUGGACAUGAAUGAAUUUCAAGGUUUCCUAUUUUAUGGUGAAAGCUUAUGCGAAUCAGAAUAGGAAACUAAACCGCGGAUGUGCAUUGUUUGUAUGGUUUUAUAUCUUACUACAAUCACAUCAUCAUCUCAGUGACCAAUCUUUUAAGCUUUUGAGGAAAGCAAAAGGUGAUUGCUCUAAACGAGAGAUUCUCGACCAUCAAAACAUGGCAAAGAGAGUUGCAAAUUUUGCUGAGAAACCUCAAUGGCCAACACACCACGAUCCUACCACCGAAAGAAUCCUAAGUCAGAACAUCAUUAAGAGCAUCGAAACUGAUUCACAAUCCUCACGGGUAGAGACCAAUGUAGGAGCCAACCAUAGUCAUUACAUUCACACACCCUUGGUAACACUGUGUAUAAGAGGGGCCUGAAUUGACAUCGCAUGUACAUUUCCACACGAUAAUUCGGCAGAGAUAAUUUCCGACUGACGAAAAUUCAUAAUGCAUUUUGGGAGAGACGACGUCAUGGGCUUCUACAGAAAGCACGGACAAAAGGGCUAUUUAAGAACAACACGAUGCGGCUGCCGUACUUUCGGCGGGUCUGUCCAUGAGAAACAUUCCCGAUGGGUUCAGUGCUGGCUGAACUCUGGUAGUCUCUUAGUUGUAUCCAUGAAACAUAAUAAUAAAUUAUACGGCAUCGACGAAGUAAGAAAAUGUGCACAACAAUUGGCGGGAACAUUUCAUCGUAGAAGGUAUUGUAUAUAAUUCACUGUAAUCACCAUCCAUGGUUGAGAGCAGAAACAAAUUAUAAGCAAUAUCCAAAUUCGUAAACCUAUUUACGGAGUUCAAAGCAUGUAGUAUCUAAGGCAAAGACGAGUACAUGUAAAUGAAAACCAGUAUGGCGUGCAUGAUAUAAACUAUGCAUUCACGAGACGAAUGCAUUGACAAGACAGUUAUACCUAUUUCAUAGAAAAUUUCGUUGACAUUUGCGGCAGUUUUUGCAGACGUUUCCAUAAAGAAGAGACCGUGUUCUUGGGCAUAUGUUUGUGCUUCCUGCAGUAAAAAGGGACCACAAACGAGCAAUUUAUAGAGGACUAUAAUUGAAGUGAGUCUGAUUAACAUCCUGGUCCUUAUCCAACAAUCUGGACCAAACCCACAGUAUGUUUCCAAUAAACUUUCUCCUUUGACAGAUACCGAUUAUAAAGAUGAUCAAUUAAAACCUUUAUACUGAUUAAAAACUGAGCCAUAAGCUCAUUGUCAACAGUGCCAUUGCAUAAUCAAUCAACAUCUUCUCAUGCCUUGCCUAUUGACACUGAGUUCAACAAGGUUAGGCUUGGCUGACUGAUAGAUAUCUUUUCUUCGAAUUGAGCUCCAAAAAUGUCGGUCAUCCUUGUAGAUGACAAUCACCACUUUGAAGUGGAGUCAACUCAGAUAGUAAAAAAAUCAAUGGAGACACUCAUCCUUCGCUCUAUGUUCCCUCUAUCUAAACAAAUCAAAUAAUGUCAUUUUGAUGCCCGCAAUUUGCAAUAGUUAUAAGUUUCCACCUUAGGAGUUAGUAAUCAUCAAGUUCCACCUUUCAUUAGGAGUCCAGAAUGCAUAAGGAUACCAAAAGGACACGAAUAAGCAUCAAAAGCAGCACGAACAAUCUCCUAACCUAUUAUCUUCAAUAAGGAUAAAACUUCAAAAGUCUUAACUUCCCUGAUUUCACACAUCUUUGUCCAACAAGAUGAUUUCUGUGGAGGACUGAAAGCUAGGAUAGGCAUCAGACGGUGCAAAGAUAAACACAAAUUCAACAUUUUGUCUACAGAAGAGGGAGAGGAAUAGGAACAUAAUCAGAAGUAGAUAGUGAAUAAAAAGGACUCUCGGUUCUUCUCAAUUGAUUUCUUCUCCAAACAUUGCAUGAGAUUGGAAAAUGUAGAUAUCCAACAUCUAGCGGAUACUGAGGUAGGCACCCCCUUAUUGCCACCUCAAUGAAAUUGCACUAUCCUCUUGAUAAAAGAAAACAUAAUUUCGGACGAAACAGAAGUAAUCAUCUCAGAAGCAGAACAGCAGGAAAACUGUAAUUACCUCGGCUGUAACCUUCCAGGCAUACAACAAAUCUAUUUUAUUUUUAGAGAGAGCCAUAACCAUGUUAGGGUUACCUUUGACAAGAAUGGAGACAACUAGUUAGCUCAAAUUCUAACCAUGAAAUUAUUGUAAGAUGAUAUAUGAUUAUUGCUGAAGAAAGAUAAGGCGGUCCCAUCCAAACACCUGCACGAUAAAUUACACACGAUAAUGGUGUGUACCGGCACCCCAAGGUCACACUAAACAUAAAAAAAUGUCUCUUUUAACGCAUGAAAAGAAGAACAAAAAGUCACAAGCAUAUUGGAGAUCAAGAAGUUAAAAAAGUCUACCUACUUAGAAGCCGCCAAACAUAAAUAAACGUGAAUGCCCACGGAAAAGCCAAACAAAUAACCAUAACAUAGAGAAGCUAAGCAAAAAGAUUUAAUCACUACCGUGUGCUUGAAGUUCUUGCACCCACUUUUUGGCUCGCUCAAAUGAUGCCUACAAGCAAGAAAACAGUCUUGUCACUUUGCUAGGAAAACAUCUAAGCCAAAAGAAAGCACUAAGCUGCAGAGCACCGAAGCAGAUGCAGAACCGUACAGGUGAAGUCUUCCUAUAUGGACAUGGAUCUUUAGCAAGGCAGAAAAAUAGAACCAUAUUUGAACACAGUAUAUGUCAUUGUCAUACAAACAUUCAGAUCAAUGCCUCACCUCCAUAUACAAGCCUACACUUAGGUAAAUAUGAACAGAGAGAAAGGAAAAGCAAGAUUAUAAGGGUAAUACGAGUAAUAGCAAGAGGAACCGGUAAUGUCAUGCAAAGGCAUAGGUCAAGUAAUCCCUUUUUGAGAUAGGGGACUUUCCUCCUUUCCCCAACCCUAUGCUUAAAGAGUGGACAUUCUUUGCUUUGGCUUCUUCUUGAUGUUACACUUCUCAUAAUAGAGCACCAACUCCGUGAAGAUGCCAGCAAAGUGCUGCUCUUCUUCGUAUAGUCAAAACAUUAAUAAAAAAAAAAGAAUAAAGAAACAGAAUAGGGAAUUUAUUUAAAAUGGUAAGGUCAGCGUGCGUGUGAGAGUGGGGGUAAUAUGUAUGGGGAUGUUGGCGCCGAGGAAAUUCAUGCAGAAGAGGAGGAAGGUGGAGGUUUUCAAAGACGCGGCAGAUGAAGCCGAUCAAAAGAACUGGAGGAGGCUCAUGAAGGAAAUCGAGGAAGCAGGCUCGGCGGCAAAUGUCCUCAGGACCGAGAGGGCUCGGACGCAGGUGCUUCCAUGAGACCUCGUGUUGGGAACCUUAAAAAGGUUCAAGCAGCUAAGGAAAUGGAACCUUGUUAGCGAGGUAGGGGCACCAAAUUUAAGUUAAUUUUCCCAUGUUCAUGGCCCGUAAACCUCUAAAUGCAUGUUUCCAGAAGUACCUCAUCCUGCAAAAGCUUUAGUUUUAGUUUCCCACAGGAUGAUGGUGACGGGAAAAUGCGUUGUGCAAGUAUGUGAAGUUGUUGCGCAUGAAGCUUCUUUUUUGUUUGUCCUAUGUAAUGUUUAAACAAAAAGAAAACCCAAAUCAGACAUUCUGUACUAUGAGGUUAGGUAUCCUGCCAUGCUAUUAAGAAGAGGAGAUAUCUGAACAGAAUAUACUAUCAUGGAGACCUAGACUCUGGACACCGCAAUAUCUCCUAAGAAACUAAUUUACGAUACGAUUACCUAUAACUACAGAUAUUUGUAUGCUUCUGAAAAAUAUUUGGUGUGGCAAGUCUUUCAGAUGUCUAGUGCCAACCUCUUCUUCGUCAAUAAAGUGACAAUUUGUUAUGCUGAUGCCUAUGCAUUGUUUUGUUCAACAGUAGAGCUUCAAGCAUUGUUGCGAUGAUCUCAUUAUUGGAUAGUUGAUGGAGUUUUGCUAAAAAAGAAUAAAGACACUUUGAUUUUCUGUUUGUGUGCACCUCUUCUGCUCGGUCAUCUCGAGAUGAUAACCUAACGAAACAGAAUGGGGCAUAAUGGAAGUACAGAACUCUAAGAACUAGAGAGACAAAGCAGCGAAGGACCAAACAACAAUUUCAUGUCGAACUUUGGCGAAUCCCAUGGUUCACCACCUGGAAGAAUCCCCAAUCUUUGGGGGCCCUGCAUAUGGCCUCUGCACACGACUGCCUCUCUGCUUCACACUCACUGCUCACCCCAUUCAGGCCUAUUACUGGGAGCUCGCAGGGGUGUCGCCGUGUUGGCAUUCAAGAUUGGAGAGGAGGAGUUGGUGGGGCAACUGCGGAGGACCUGGGUCAAAUUGGUCGGAAGGGGUGGGUCUGCGAUGGAGCCUCUCGUUGCUGCAGCGUGUGAAGAGCGCACGGGUUGGGGAGGUGGCGGUCUGGUCAAGUCCGUAUAUAUAGAGUGGAGAGAGAGUGAAAGAGGCCAAGGAGAAGGAGAGAAGGGGACAAAA